rnacentral:misc_RNA from 1 species
GUUAAAAGCAGACGGGCGUCAAUCUAUUUGUCGAUAUUUGAGUAUUGACAAGUGGUGGUGUAAUUAUAAUGGGAAUGGUGCGACAUUCCAUUUGGAUGAUUGUGAAAGCCUGCAAUUCUUUACAUCCCAACACAUUGGAGAUGAUGAGGCUUAUCAUGUUUGUCUUUCUCCUCGCCCUUGUUAAAAUUACAAUUUACACUGUAUUUGAUUUCCUUGUCUGCAAUAAAAUAUAUUUCUCCUCAACGUUUAUAAUUUCU